AACGAACGCUGGCGGCAUGCCUAACACAUGCAAGUCGAACGAGACCUUCGGGUCUAGUGGCGCACGGGUGCGUAACGCGUGGGAACCUGCCCUUAGGUUCGGAAUAACUCCCCGAAAGGGGUGCUAAUACCGGAUAAUGUCUUCGGACCAAAGAUUUAUCGCCUUUGGAUGGGCCCGCGUUGGAUUAGCUAGUUGGUAGGGUAAAAGCCUACCAAGGCGACGAUCCAUAGCUGGUCUGAGAGGAUGAUCAAGCACACUGGGACUGAGACACGGCCCAGACUCCUACGCAAGGGAGCAGUGGGGAAUAUUGGACAAUGGGCGAAAGCCUGAUCCAGCAAUGCCGCGUGAGUGAUGAAGGCCUUAGGGUUGUAAAGCCCUUUUACCCGGGAUGAUAAUGACAGUACCGGGAGAAUAAGCUCCGGCUAACUCCGUG
rnacentral:rRNA from 1 species